rnacentral:miRNA from 1 species
CAGAUAUUUCUGUACCUAC